UACGAAGGGGGCUAGCGUUACUCGGAUUGACUGGGCGUAAAGGGCGCGUAGGCGGUUUGUACAGUCAGACGUGAAAUUCCUGGGCUCAACCUGGGGGCUGCGUUUGAUACGUGCAGGCUUGAGUCCGGAAGAGGGUCGUGGAAUUCCCAGUGUAGAGGUGAAAUUCGUAGAUAUUGGGAAGAACACCGGUGGCGAAGGCGGCGACCUGGUCCGGGUACUGACGCUGAGGCGCGAAAGCGUGGGGAGCAAACAGG
rnacentral:rRNA from 1 species